rnacentral:rRNA from 1 species
AGUGAACGCUGGCGGUAGGCCUAACACAUGCAAGUCGAACGGCAGCACAGUAAGAGCUUGCUCUUACGGGUGGCGAGUGGCGGACGGGUGAGGAAUACAUCGGAAUCUACUUUUUCGUGGGGGAUAACGUAGGGAAACUUACGCUAAUACCGCAUACGACCUACGGGUGAAAGCAGGGGAUCUUCGGACCUUGCGCGAUUGAAUGAGCCGAUGUCGGAUUAGCUAGUUGGGGGGGUAAAGGCCCACCAAGGCGACGAUCCGUAGCUGGUCUGAGAGGGUGGUCAGCCACACUGGGACUGAGACACGGUCCAGACUCCUACGGGAGGCAGCAGUGGGGAAUAUUGGACAAUGGGCGCAAGCCUGAUCCAGCCAUACCGCGUGGGUGAAGAAGGCCUUCGGGUUGUAAAGCCCUUUUGUUGGGAAAGAAAAGCAGCAGGUUAAUACCCCGCUGUCCUGACGGUACCCAAAGAAUAAGCACCGGCUAACUUCGU